rnacentral:rRNA from 1 species
GCGUGCCUAAUACAUGCAAGUCGAACGCUUCUUUUUCCACCGGAGCUUGCUCCACCGGAAAAAGAGGAGUGGCGAACGGGUGAGUAACACGUGGGUAACCUGCCCAUCAGAAGGGGAUAACACUUGGAAACAGGUGCUAAUACCGUAUAACAAUCGAAACCGCAUGGUUUUGAUUUGAAAGGCGCUUUCGGGUGUCGCUGAUGGAUGGACCUGCGGUGCAUUAGCUAGUUGGUGAGGUAACGGCUCACCAAGGCGACGAUGCAUAGCCGACCUGAGAGGGUGAUCGGCCACAUUGGGACUGAGACACGGCCCAAACUCCUACGGGAGGCAGCAGUAGGGAAUCUUCGGCAAUGGACGAAAGUCUGACCGAGCAACGCCGCGUGAGUGAAGAAGGUUUUCGGAUCGUAAAACUCUGUUGUUAGAGAAGAACAAGGAUGAGAGUAACUGUUCAUCCCUUGACGGUAUCUAACCAGAAAGCCACGGCUAACUACGUGCCAGCAGCCGCGGUAAUACGUAGGUGGCAAGCGUUGUCCGGAUUUAUUGGGCGUAAAGCGAGCGCAGGCGGUUUCUUAAGUCUGAUGUGAAAGCCCCCGGCUCAACCGGGGAGGGUCAUUGGAAACUGGGAGACUUGAGUGCAGAAGAGGAGAGUGGAAUUCCAUGUGUAGCGGUGAAAUGCGUAGAUAUAUGGAGGAACACCAGUGGCGAAGGCGGCUCUCUGGUCUGUAACUGACGCUGAGGCUCGAAAGCGUGGGGAGCAAACAGGAUUAGAUACCCUGGUAGUCCACGCCGUAAACGAUGAGUGCUAAGUGUUGGAGGGUUUCCGCCCUUCAGUGCUGCAGCUAACGCAUUAAGCACUCCGCCUGGGGAGUACGACCGCAAGGUUGAAACUCAAAGGAAUUGACGGGGGCCCGCACAAGCGGUGGAGCAUGUGGUUUAAUUCGAAGCAACGCGAAGAACCUUACCAGGUCUUGACAUCCUUUGACCACUCUAGAGAUAGAGCUUCCCCUUCGGGGGCAAAGUGACAGGUGGUGCAUGGUUGUCGUCAGCUCGUGUCGUGAGAUGUUGGGUUAAGUCCCGCAACGAGCGCAACCCUUAUUGUUAGUUGCCAUCAUUUAGUUGGGCACUCUAGCAAGACUGCCGGUGACAAACCGGAGGAAGGUGGGGAUGACGUCAAAUCAUCAUGCCCCUUAUGACCUGGGCUACACACGUGCUACAAUGGGAAGUACAACGAGUCGCAAAGUCGCGAGGCUAAGCUAAUCUCUUAAAGCUUCUCUCAGUUCGGAUUGUAGGCUGCAACUCGCCUACAUGAAGCCGGAAUCGCUAGUAAUCGCGGAUCAGCACGCCGCGGUGAAUACGUUCCCGGGCCUUGUACACACCGCCCGUCACACCACGAGAGUUUGUAACACCCGAAGUCGGUGAGGUAACCUUUUGGAGCCAGCCGCCUAAGUGGGAUAGAUGAUUGGGGU